rnacentral:misc_RNA from 1 species
UGCAACCACUGACUUGCAAUUCUGUAGUUUACAUCAAGAUUCGAACAACAGCAAGACCAACAGCAGAUAUGGAAACAAGUGUACUACUUUAUCACAUCAUAUUUUGCAGCUUCCAAUUGGGCCCUUAAUGCGUGAAUUUCUCUAUCGAGUUUGUUGGUGAGGUUAGAGGUUUCAGCAUUCUGAUCUGCCAACUCAUCACGUAUCCUCCCUNUCCCUCUUUCAAGAUUCAAAUCCAACCGCUGCCCAGCAGUAACUUUGUCAAUUUCAUGCCUCAAUUCACUGCGCAUCUUCUCGAUAUCAUUCCGAAGUUUUUCAGUCUCGUGUUGCAACAAAGAGAAAUGAUGUUCCUGCGAACUCUGGACUUCAGAUUUAAAUUUGGACAAACUGGUGUCUUGAAUCAUUUCAUUUUUCUGCAUCUCUGCCUUCGAGACAACCGAUUGAGACACAUUUUCCAAGCUGUCGUUCAAAACUUCAGUUAUGGCAGCUGUUAUAGCCUCAGCUUGCUUUGAGGGCACGCCCUGUGCCUCCAAUCUUCUGACAAGGGCUAAAGUGUCGACAAGAAACAAUCUCUUCCCGUUAGAUUUGACGAGCUGAGAAAUCUGCCUAGACCCAGAAAUGGAAACAAAGGAAUAGCAGUCCAAAGGGGCACCAAAUCCUCGAUUCCGACCAAAAACGAUCCCUGAGUUGGUCCCAAAUUGAC